rnacentral:misc_RNA from 1 species
AUGUGGGAGGGGCGGUGCGACGAUGUCGACUGACACUCAGCCAUCGGGGGCAAGUCGAAUCGUCGCACCGCCCCUCCCACAU